CUGCUCCCCGCUCCAGGCCACGGGAAGCGGAGUUGCGCGGUGUGUCGCCAGUGCGCCCGCACAGCCCGGUACGUCCGGUGGACAUGCCCAGCACAUGCCGUGCUAGGAUGGGCAUCCAGCCAGGACGAGUGGCUAAACCGGCUCCACGCUUCAGGGCACCAGUACGUGUUCACAGUCCUGUCUGGCCCGUCCCUGCUCCCCGCACCAGGUUAGUGGUGCGUGUCCCCAGUCCUGUCCGGCCCGUUCCUGCUCCCCGCACCAGGUUAGUGGUGCGUGUCCCCAGUCCUGUCCGGCCCGUCCCUGCUCCCCGCACCAAGUCAGUGGUGCGUGUCCCCAGUCCUGUCCGGCCCGUUCCUGCUCCCCGCACCAGGUUAGUGGUGCGUGUCCCCAGUCCUGUCCGGCCCGUCCCUGCUCCCCGCACCAAGUCAGUGGUGCGUGUCCCCAGUCCUGUCCGGCCCGUCCCUGCUCCCCGCACCAGGUUAGUGGUGCGUGUCCCCAGUCCUGUCCGGCCCGUUCCUGCUCCCCGCACCAGGUUAGUGGUGCGUGUCCCCAGUCCUGUCCGGCCCGUUCCUGCUCCCCGCACCAAGUCAGAGGUGCGUGUUCCCAGUCCUGUCCGGCCCGUUCCUGCUCCCCGCACCAGGUUAGUGGUGCGUGUCCCCAGUCCUGUCCGGCCCGUCCCUGCUCCCCGCACCAAGUCAGUGGUGCGUGUCCCCAGUCCUGUCCGGCCCGUCCCUGCUGCCCGCACCAAACCAGUGGUGCGUGUUCCCAGUCCGGCACGGCCCGGGUCCGGUCCACCGGUGCCCAAUCCUGUUCCGGGCGACGGCUCCGCUCCAGAGCCUGGGCAUGCCGCUCCACAGUGGUCCAGUCCGGGCCAGAGAGGUAGGGCUAAGGUGGAGGCGGGGGGGAGAACACGCCCGGGGCCAGAGCCUCCACCGAGGGUGAGGCGCCCACCCGGAUUCCCCCCCCUAAUAGACUUAAGUUUGGUGCGCCGGGAGUACGCACCGUUGAGGGGGGGGUACUGUCACGCCCUGACCGGGUGAACUCAGGUGUUUUGGGUCAGGGUGGUUUAUGUUGGGUGGUUUUCCUGUGUUUGUUUUCUGUUUUGUGUUGGAGCCUUGUGUUGGCU
rnacentral:lncRNA from 1 species